AUAGAUUAUGCGCUUACAGGG
rnacentral:snRNA from 1 species